rnacentral:rRNA from 1 species
UCCACGCCCUAAACGAUGCACACUAGUUGUUGCGAUGCUCGUCAUUGCAGUAAUACAGUUAACACAUUAAGUGUGCCGCCUGGGGAGUACGGUCGCAAGAUUAAAACUCAAAGGAAUAGACGGGGACCCGCACAAGCGGUGGAGCAUGUGGUUUAAUUCGAAAAUACGCGAAGAACCUUACCUAGCCUUGACAUUGAAGAAACACACUAGAGAUAGAGUGGUGCCCUUCGGGGAAUCUGAAAACAGGUGCAGCACCUGUCGUCAGCUCGUGUCGUGAGAUGUUGGGUUAAGUCCCG